AUAGCUCAGUGAUAGAGCUCAUGCUUAGCAUGCAUGAGGUCCCAGGUUCAAUCCUGAGU
rnacentral:tRNA from 1 species